rnacentral:rRNA from 1 species
GAGACCGAUAGCAAACAAGUACAGUGAUGGAAAGAUGAAAAGAACUUUGGAAAGAGAGUGAAAUAGUACGUGAAAUUGUUGAAAGGGAAGGGUAUUUGAUCCGACAUGGUGUUUAGCAGCGGCCCGUUCCUUUUUGGGAUGGGUGCACCUGGUUUACACUGGGCCAGCAUCAGUUCCUGGGGCUGGAGAAGAAGGGAGUGAAUGUGGCCCCACGAUUCUGUCAUGGGGUGUUAUAGCA